rnacentral:tRNA from 1 species
GCCUGGGUGGCUCAGCGGUUAAGCAUCUGCCUUCAGCUCAGGACGUGAUCCCGGCGUGGGAUCGUGCCCCACAUCAGGCG